UUGAGGGUGUGGGGUCACUGCACCCACUGUGGUUCCCGAAGUGGAGGUCAGUCGUAGGAGGGCCAACGCUGGGGGCCUUCGGUCGUUGACGGGAGGGGAGAUGGUGCUAGUACUUCAGGCCGACUGGGGAAACCGACGCACUGGGCAGAAGAACUUGGGUUGAGUGGAGAGGGCAGUGGUAACAGGCCGCAGUCAAUCUUAAGAUGGCUAUGUCUCUGGCUGACAUCUGAACCACAACUUCAUGAAAGACCCUGAGCCAGAACCUCCCCUCCCCACCCCAGGAACAGUGCCCUGAAAUUCCUGAAUCUCAGCAGAAACUACCUUCCCAUAACUAAUCUAACCGUGAGAAAAACAUCAGACAAUCUGAAUUGAUGUACGUUCUACAGAAUACCUGAACAGGUCAGUAAAAAUAAAAACUGAGAAAGGAGCCAAGAGAAGCAUCAGGAGACCAGAAAAUUAGAUGUAAUAUACUCCAUUGGAUGGGAUCCUGGAACAGAAAAAGGAAAAUAAGUACAAAAUGCAAAGUCAACCUCUGGGGCAAAAUUCCACCUUUCUCCUUCUGCCACACAAGUGGUAAAUAACAUUACCCAAUAAAUUUUAGCAUUUCCUCAAAUGUGUAGGAUACAAAAAAUGUAUUCAUUCGUGUGAGAUAUAAAAAUGUACACUCACACUUCUGAAAUCAACAGCCAGCCAUUUCACACUUGGGCCAAAGGCAAACAAACAUAAUUCUCACUGGCAGCUGGACAACAUUCCAAGCUGCCACCACAUUAAUUAACUCACCUCAAUCAGAUUCCACUUCAACUUGCACAGCUUGCUGCCAAGACGCCUAGCAAUAAAUUGUUAGGUUAAAUACUGAACAAGAUUUGGGAUCACGUUUUGAGGAAUACUGGACUACAUGAUAGCUAAGAUUCCUUUACCUCUAAUAGUGCCUAAUUUUACAUACCCGGCCUUAUCAUUGCUUUUAUAACUUGUGUGAUUUGGGAAAGCAGCAUGAUUGGGAGUGUUGAUCCAUGGUUUAAUCUGCAAUAGGCAGUUUAAAUGCCUACUGAAAAAGAUUGAGACCAGCAGAAUAUGACUAUCCAAAUUCAUGUGAUCAAAUCAGGGCCUUGCACAUGCUGAGCAAGCACUCUACCGCUGAGCUACACUUCCUGCCCCAUGUUAACAUGUAAUUUAUUUUAAGUAAACUAAAUAUUUAAAAAUUUCUCCAUUUUAAUUAAAAUAGAUAAAUACAGAUGGGUAUAACCCAUAUCAAGUGAAAGUUCUUUGGUGACCUCAGUAAUUGAAGAGUGUUAUUAAAGGCCCUAAAACCAGAGUUUGACAAUGCUGAUUUAAGUCAUUUGUGUCUUUUGAAGUCCAAAUGAAAGCCUGCCUCCUUAGUAUGUUGUUUGGCCAGUGCAACUAAAAAGGAAAAGGUUUUAUUCAUUCAAUUUGUUUAGUGUUUUCCAUAUUCUCCUGUCUAUUCUGAAUGCCAGGGCUGCUUUUGUGAUUCUUUUGUGCCAUUCACCUAACCACCAAGAUAGUGCCAAAAAGAAUUAAUAAGGUUAUACUGAUUAAGAAUGAUAGAGUUUGGUCAUGAAUCAUAAAUAAUCCUUAUACUUCCAGUCUCUGAUUAGAGUCUUUCCAGAUUAAAAGGGAAAAAGAACAUUUUUUUUCUUGAGUCAACUGAUCCUUUUUACUAGAAAAUUUUAAUAAAUUUUAAUAAAAUACACAUAAUAUUUGUUUUGAUUUUUUAUUUUAAACUUGAUAAAUGUUCAUUGAGAAAGAAUGAAACAAAAAAUUAGAAAUCAAAAAGUUAAAUUCACUCAUAAUGCCAUUAUCCCAAGAUAACAAUUGCUAAUAUUUUAGUGUAUGUCUUUCCAGUUUUUGCCUAAAUACAUAUUUUUAAUAAAUUUAAGUUGUAUCGAAC